rnacentral:rRNA from 1 species
UACAGAGGGUGCAAGCGUUAAUCGGAAUUACUGGGCGUAAAGCGCGCGUAGGUGGUUUGUUAAGUCGGAUGUGAAAGCCCCGGGCUCAACCUGGGAACUGCAUUCGAAACUGACAAGCUAGAGUAUGGUAGAGGGUGGUGGAAUUUCCUGUGUAGCGGUGAAAUGCGUAGAUAUCGGGAGGAACACCAGUGGCGAAGGCGGCUACCUGGCCUGUUCUUGACGCUGAGGCACGAAAGCUAGGGGAGCAAACGGG